ncrna:Ornithorhynchus anatinus (platypus) microRNA oan-mir-34a precursor
AGUUACUAGGCAGUGUAGUUAGCUGAUUGCUAUUAACACCAAUCACUAGCCACACAGCCAGGUAAAA